rnacentral:rRNA from 1 species
GUCGAGCGAACUUGCGGGAGCUUGCUCCCAAAAGUUAGCGGCGGACGGGUGAGUAACACGUGGGCAACCUGCCUGUAAGACUGGGAUAACUUCGGGAAACCGGAGCUAAUACCGGAUAACCCUUUUCCUCACAUGUGGAAAAGUUGAAAGAUGGCUUCGGCUAUCACUUACAGAUGGGCCCGCGGCGCAUUAGCUAGUUGGUGAGGUAACGGCUCACCAAGGCGACGAUGCGUAGCCGACCUGAGAGGGUGAUCGGCCACACUGGGACUGAGACACGGCCCAGACUCCUACGGGAGGCAGCAGUAGGGAAUCUUCCGCAAUGGACGAAAGUCUGACGGAGCAACGCCGCGUGAGUGAUGAAGGUUUUCGGAUCGUAAAACUCUGUUGUUAGGGAAGAACAAGUACCGUUCGAAUAGGGCGGUACCUUGACGGUACCUAACCAGAAAGCCACGGCUAACUACGUGCCAGCAGCCGCGGUAAUACGUAGGUGGCAAGCGUUGUCCGGAAUUAUUGGGCGUAAAGCGCGCGCAGGCGGUCUUUUAAGUCUGAUGUGAAAGCCCCCGGCUCAACCGGGGAGGGUCAUUGGAAACUGGGAGACUUGAGUGCAGAAGAGGAGAGUGGAAUUCCACGUGUAGCGGUGAAAUGCGUAGAGAUGUGGAGGAACACCAGUGGCGAAGGCGACUCUCUGGUCUGUAACUGACGCUGAGGCGCGAAAGCGUGGGGAGCGAACAGGAUUAGAUACCCUGGUAGUCCACGCCGUAAACGAUGAGUGCUAAGUGUUAGAGGGUUUCCGCCCUUUAGUGCUGCAGCAAACGCAUUAAGCACUCCGCCUGGGGAGUACGGCCGCAAGGCUGAAACUCAAAGGAAUUGACGGGGGCCCGCACAAGCGGUGGAGCAUGUGGUUUAAUUCGAAGCAACGCGAAGAACCUUACCAGGUCUUGACAUCCUCUGACAAUCCUAAAAGAUAGGACGUUCCCCUU